GGCUACAUCACGUUGAAACACCGAUUUCCGUACGAUCAUUGAAAUUAAGCAAGGUCGAGCCUGGUCAGUACCUCGAUGGGUAACUGUUUGGGAAUACCAGGUGCUGUAAG